GGUAUUGAUUGGUGCUUGCAUCAUGAUUUACAUUUGAGUGAGUGGCGAACUGGUGAGUAACACGUGGGAAACCUGCCCAGAAGCGGGGGAUAACACCUGGAAACAGAUGCUAAUACCGCAUAACAACUUGGACCGCAUGGUCCGAGUUUGAAAGAUGGCUUCGGCUAUCACUUUUGGAUGGUCCCGCGGCGUAUUAGCUAGAUGGUGGGGUAACGGCUCACCAUGGCAAUGAUACGUAGCCGACCUGAGAGGGUAAUCGGCCACAUUGGGACUGAGACACGGCCCAAACUCCUACGGGAGGCAGCAGUAGGGAAUCUUCCACAAUGGACGAAAGUCUGAUGGAGCAACGCCGCGUGAGUGAAGAAGGGUUUCGGCUCGUAAAACUCUGUUGUUAAAGAAGAACAUAUCUGAGAGUAACUGUUCAGGUAUUGACGGUAUUUAACCAGAAAGCCACGGCUAACUACGUGCCAGCAGCCGCGGUAAUACGUAGGUGGCAAGCGUUGUCCGGAUUUAUUGGGCGUAAAGCGAGCGCAGGCGGUUUUUUAAGUCUGAUGUGAAAGCCUUCGGCUCAACCGAAGAAGUGCAUCGGAAACUGGGAAACUUGAGUGCAGAAGAGGACAGUGGAACUCCAUGUGUAGCGGUGAAAUGCGUAGAUAUAUGGAAGAACACCAGUGGCGAAGGCGGCUGUCUGGUCUGUAACUGACGCUGAGGCUCGAAAGUAUGGGUAGCAAACAGGAUUAGAUACCCUGGUAGUCCAUACCGUAAACGAUGAAUGCUAAGUGUUGGAGGGUUUCCGCCCUUCAGUGCUGCAGCUAACGCAUUAAGCAUUCCGCCUGGGGAGUACGGCCGCAAGGCUGAAACUCAAAGGAAUUGACGGGGGCCCGCACAAGCGGUGGAGCAUGUGGUUUAAUUCGAAGCUACGCGAAGAACCUUACCAGGUCUUGACAUACUAUGCAAAUCUAAGAGAUUAGACGUUCCCUUCGGGGACAUGGAUACAGGUGGUGCAUGGUUGUCGUCAGCUCGUGUCGUGAGAUGUUGGGUUAAGUCCCGCAACGAGCGCAACCCUUAUUAUCAGUUGCCAGCAUUAAGUUGGGCACUCUGGUGAGACUGCCGGUGACAAACCGGAGGAAGGUGGGGAUGACGUCAAAUCAUCAUGCCCCUUAUGACCUGGGCUACACACGUGCUACAAUGGAUGGUACAACGAGUUGCGAACUCGCGAGAGUAAGCUAAUCUCUUAAAGCCAUUCUCAGUUCGGAUUGUAGGCUGCAACUCGCCUACAUGAAGUCGGAAUCGCUAGUAAUCGCGGAUCAGCAUGCCGCGGUGAAUACGUUCCCGGGCCUUGUACACACCGCCCGUCACACCAUGAGAGUUUGUAACACCCAAAGUCGGUGGGGUAACCUUUUAGGA
rnacentral:rRNA from 1 species